GCAUGCAUGUAAAAUACCAUGUAUACACCAGAUCCCAUCAGAUCUUGGAAGCUGGGCAGGGUCCGCAUUGGUUAUUACUCGACUGGGUGACCUCCAAUGAAUAACAGGUGCUGUAGGCC
rnacentral:rRNA from 1 species